UACGUAGGGGGCAAGCGUUGUCCGGAAUUAUUGGGCGUAAAGAGCGUGUAGGCGGUUCGAUCAGUCCGCUGUGAAAGUCCAGGGCUCAACCCUGGAAAGCCGGUGGAUACUGUCGGGCUAGAAUCCGGAAGAGGCGAGUGGAAUUCCUGGUGUAGCGGUGAAAUGCGCAGAUAUCAGGAGGAACACCGAUGGCGAAGGCAGCUCGCUGGGACGGUAUUGACGCUGAGGAGCGAAAGCGUGGGGAGCGAACAGG
rnacentral:rRNA from 1 species